GGAGAGGUGGAUGAGUGGUUUAAGUCGCACGCCUGGAAAGCGUGUUUGGGAUAAUAUCCCAACGAGGGUUCGAAUCCCUCCCUCUCCGCCA
rnacentral:tRNA from 2 species